rnacentral:rRNA from 1 species
UACGGGGGGGGCGAGCGUUUGUCCGGAUUUACUGGGCGUAAAGCGCGUGUAGGCGGCUGUCUAAGUUGGGUGUGAAAGCCCCGGGCUCAACCUGGGAAUUGCAUUCGAGACUGCAUUGCUGGAGUACGGAAGAGGAAGGCGGAAUUCCCGGUGUAGCGGUGAAAUGCGUAGAUAUCGGGAGGAACAUCAGUGGCGAAGGCGGCCUUCUGGUCCAGUACUGACACUCAAGUGCGAAAGCGUGGGGAGCAAACAGGG